ACUUCUAUAGGAAAGCAGAAAUCCGCUGGUUUUAGGUACCAACAACCUUGGUGCAACUCCAAGUAAAAGUA
rnacentral:tRNA from 1 species